rnacentral:ncRNA from 2 species
UACAGAGGUCCCGAGCGUUGUUCGGAUUCACUGGGCGUAAAGGGUGCGUAGGUGGCAUGGUAAGUUUGAUGUGAAAGCUCAGGGCUUAACCCUGAAAUGGCAUUGAAUACUACUGUGCUGGAGGUUUGGAGGGGGGACUGGAAUUCUCGGUGUAGCAGUGAAAUGCGUAGAUAUCGAGAGGAACACCAGUGGCGAAGGCGAGUCCCUGGACAACACCUGACACUGAGGCACGAAAGCUAGGGGAGCAAACAGG